CCUACGGGUGGCAGCAGUGAGGAAUAUUGGUCAAUGGGCGCGAGCCUGAACCAGCCAUGCCGCGUGCAGGAAGACGGCUCUAUGGGUUGUAAACUGCUUUUGUAAGGGAAUAAAUUGAGAUACGUGUGUCUUUCUGAAUGUAUCGUACGAAUAAGGAUCGGCUAACUCCGUGCCAGCAGCCGCGGUAAUACGGAGGAUCCGAGCGUUAUCCGGAUUUAUUGGGUUUAAAGGGAGCGUAGAUGGGUGGUUAAGUCAGUUGUGAAAGUGUGGGGCUCAACCGUGGAAUUGCAUUUGAUACUGGCAGGCUAGAGUGCAGUUGAGGUAGGCGGAAUUUAUGGUGUAGCGGUGAAAUGCUUAGAGAUCACGAAGAACACCGAUUGCGAAGGCAGCUUACUAAACUGCUACUGACGUUGAGGCUCGAAAGCGUGGGGAGCAAACAGGAUUAGAUACCCCAGUAGUC
rnacentral:rRNA from 1 species